rnacentral:antisense_RNA from 1 species
UUUGGCAUUGGGCUUGCGCGCCACGAUGCCGUUACCCACCGCGUGCAGCAGGUGCGUCUUACCGAGGCCCGUGCCACCGU